rnacentral:rRNA from 1 species
UACGUAGGGACCGAGCGUUGUCCGGAUUCAUUGGGCGUAAAGAGCUCGUAGGCGGCCACUCAAGUCGAAUGUGAAACCUCGAGGCUUAACCUCGAGCCUGCAGUGGGUACGGGCAGACUGGAGUGCGGUAGGGGAGAAUGGAAUUCCUGGUGUAGGCGGUGGAAUGCGCAGAUAUCAGGAGGAACACCGAUGGCGAAGGCAGGUCUCUGGGCCAUAACUGACGCUGAGAAGCGAAAGCAUGGGGAGCGAACAGG